GACUGCUUGCCGCAAUGGUAGCGCGUUCGACUCCUGAUCGAAAGGUUGGGCGUUCGAUCCGCUCAUCAUUGA
rfam:Caenorhabditis brenneri strain PB2801 C_brenneri-6.0.1_Cont81.18, whole genome shotgun sequence.